GAUGAACGCUGGCGGCGUGCCUAAUACAUGCAAGUCGAGCGAACAGACGAGGAGCUUGCUCCUCUGACGUUAGCGGCGGACGGGUGAGUAACACGUGGAUAACCUACCUAUAAGACUGGGAUAACUUCGGGAAACCGGAGCUAAUACCGGAUAAUAUAUUGAACCGCAUGGUUCAAUAGUGAAAGACGGUUUUGCUGUCACUUAUAGAUGGAUCCGCGCCGCAUUAGCUAGUUGGUAAGGUAACGGCUUACCAAGGCAACGAUGCGUAGCCGACCUGAGAGGGUGAUCCGCCACCCUGGAACUGAGACACGGUCCAGACUCCUACGGGAGGCAGCAGUAGGGAAUCUUCCGCAAUGCGCGAAAGCCUGACGGAGCAACGCCGCGUGAGUGAUGAAGGUCUUCGGAUCGUAAAACUCUGUUAUUAGGGAAGAACAAAUGUGUAAGUAACUAUGCACGUCUUGACGGUACCUAAUCAGAAAGCCACGGCUAACUACGUG
rnacentral:rRNA from 1 species